GCGGGUAUAGUUAAUCGGCCUAACGGUUCCUUCCCAAGGAACAGAAAGGGGUUCAACUCCCCUUACCCGCU
rfam:Microgenomates bacterium GW2011_GWF1_38_5 TS97_C0029, whole genome shotgun sequence.